UGUUUGGACCAUUUUGGUCAACUGAGUUUGUAGAUAGUUAUUUGGGCCAGUUUUAACCUGCCCCAUUUUGACAACAUAUAGCCCAAGGCCCAGACAUUUCAUGAUAACUAGGGUUUCAUCCUAAGCUGUUCUACUUUAUUUAAGCGAUGCAAAGCUAUAGUUUCAAAUAGGGCAAUACUCUGAAAAUCCUCGAGCCAACUAAGGUGAUUCCACGUCAUCACAACGACCUAUUGGGGUGAAGAAAGCAAAAUUGAAGAGAAAAAUCGAAGAAGGUUUUUCAUCUGCUAUGUAAAUGGUCCAAUCAGAAAAUAAUCGGCUUGUUGAGUUGUUGGCAAAGUUAGGUGCAGACAGGCAGCGAGAUUUGGAGAUGAAAGAUAGAGCUUUGAAACUAAAAGAAUUUAAAGAAGAAAAUAAAAUUUUAUUGUCAAAUUUAAAUUCUAUUGGUGAUUCAAAUAUUCGUGAAUUUAUUUGACAAGAACAAAAACGAAUAAUGUAUAAAAGAAGUUUAACAAUUUCAACAGUCACAACCACAACCAUCCUCUGCCCCGUACACUUAACAUUUUAAUGAUAUUGGUGGAUCUGGAAAUGACCUACCAGAGUAUUAAAUUAUUGUUAUAAUUUUCUAAAUUAUUAUGUUGUUUAAUGUAUUGAACAUUGUUAUGUUAUUGAUCAUUGUGUUGUUAUUGAACAUUAUGUUAUAAUUGUGUUAUAUAUUCGAAAUUAUUAUGUUAUUGAA